rfam:Erinaceus europaeus unplaced genomic scaffold scaffold00147, whole genome shotgun sequence
CUGCUACCAGUUAAGCCAACCAUGCUGCCCUUCUCAUGGUGUCCAGAGUGCAGUGGCUGCAAAUAGCAGUUUCCUGGGUAGUAUGUGUGGCCUGUUGCUUGUACGGGCUGCCCUAAGGGACCCUGGAGACAGCC